AUUGAACGCUGGCGGCAUGCCUUACACAUGCAAGCCGAACGGCAGCACGGGUGCUUGCACCUGGUGGCGAGUGGCGAACGGGUGAGUAAUACAUCGGAACAUGUCCUUUAGUGGGGGAUAGCCCGGCGAAAGCCGGAUUAAUACCGCAUACGAUCUACGGAUGAAAGCGGGGGACCUUCGGGCCUCGCGCUAUAGGGUUGGCCGAUGGCUGAUUAGCUAGUUGGUGGGGUAAAGGCCUACCAAGGCGACGAUCAGUAGCUGGUCUGAGAGGACGACCAGCCACACUGGGACUGAGACACGGCCCAGACUCCUACGGGAGGCAGCAGUGGGGAAUUUUGGACAAUGGGCGAAAGCCUGAUCCAGCAAUGCCGCGUGUGUGAAGAAGGCCUUCGGGUUGUAAAGCACUUUUGUCCGGAAAGAAAUCCUUGGCCCUAAUACGGUCGGGGGAUGACGGUACCGGAAGAAUAAGCACCGGCUAACUACGUG
rnacentral:rRNA from 1 species